rnacentral:tRNA from 1 species
GGAGUAGCAUGUUCCAUGGCGGCGAUGGAGGUUUGCACCUUUCAUGUGAUGAGUUCGAUUCUCAUCUAUUCCAC